rnacentral:rRNA from 1 species
CCUACGGGAGGCAGCAGUGAGGAAUAUUGGUCAAUGGGCGCAAGCCUGAACCAGCCAAGUCGCGUGAGGGAAGACGGCCCUACGUGUUGUAAACCUCUUUUGCCGGGGAGCAAGCCUGAGCACGUGUGCCCAGGCGGAUAGUCCCCGGAGAAAAGGCAUCGGCUACCUCCGUGCCAGCAGCCGCGGUAAUCCGGGGGAUGCGAGCGUUAUCCGGAUUUAUUGGGUUGAAAGGGUGCGCAGGCGGGCUGUUAAGCCGGCGGUAAAAAUUCAGGGCUCAACCCUGUCGAGCCGUCGGAACUGGCAGCCUGGAGUGGGCGAGAAGUAGGCGGAAUGCGUGGUGUAGCGGUGAAAUGCAUAGAUAUCACGCAGAACGCCGAUUGCGAAGGCAGCAUACCGGCGCCCGACUGACGCUGAGGCACGAAAGCGUGGGGAUCGAACAGGAUUAGAUACCCGGGUAGUC